AUUGAACGCUGGCGGCAGGCCUAACACAUGCAAGUCGAGCGGAUGAAGGGAGCUUGCUCCUGGAUUCAGCGGCGGACGGGUGAGUAAUGCCUAGGAAUCUGCCUGGUAGUGGGGGAUAACGUCCGGAAACGGGCGCUAAUACCGCAUACGUCCUGAGGUAGAAAGUGGGGGAUCUUCGGACCUCACGCUAUCAGAUGAGCCUAGGUCGGAUUAGCUAGUUGGUGGGGUAAAGGCCUACCAAGGCGACGAUCCGUAACUGGUCUGAGAGGAUGAUCAGUCACACUGGAACUGAGACACGGUCCAGGCUCCUACGGGAGGCAGCAGUGGGGAAUAUUGGACAAUGGGCGAAAGCCUGAUCCAGCCAUGCCGCGUGUGUGAAGAAGGUCUUCGGAUUGUAAAGCACUUUAAGUUGGGAGGAAGGGAAGUAAGUUAAUACCUUGCUGUUUUGACGUUACCAACAGAAUAAGCACCGGCUAACUUCGUG
rnacentral:rRNA from 1 species